rnacentral:rRNA from 1 species
GCGUGGGUGAAGAAGGCCUUCGGGUUGUAAAGCCCUUUUGGCGGGGACGAUGAUGACGGUACCCGCAGAAUAAGCCCCGGCUAACUUCGUGCCAGCAGCCGCGGUAAGACGAAGGGGGCAAGCGUUGUUCGGAAUUACUGGGCGUAAAGGGCGCGUAGGCGGCCAUUCAAGUCAGCCGUGAAAGGCCUGGGCUCAACCUGGGAAUUGCGGUUGGGACUGAGUGGCUAGAGAGCGGGAGAGGAUGGUGGAAUUCCCAGUGUAGAGGUGAAAUUCGU